UGUUUAGGUUUUUUUUUAAAUAUAUAAAACUGCAAAAUUGUCCUCCAAAAUGAUUCUACAAUUUUCUAUUUCCACCAGCAGUAAGUCGGGGUUCCUAUUGCUCCACAUUCUCACCAGCAUUUGGUGUUGUCAGUUUUCUGGAUUUUGACCAUUGUAGUGGGUCCUGGUACAAUGUUAAAAAGGAGUGGUGACAGGGAAUAUCUUUGCCUUGUUCCUGAUCUUAGCGGAAAAGCUUCAAAUUUCUCAUCAUUACCUAUGAUGUUUGUUGGCUGCAGCUAUCCUGGCUACAGUUUUUUUUUUUUCAUUUUAUUUAUUUUCAAAUAACCAGCUUUUAGUUUUGUUGAUUUUCCUAUUGAUUUACUGUUUAUAAUUUCAUUGAUUUUUUUUUUGCUCAAUUUUUAUUAUUUGUUUUUUCUUCUGCUAACUUUAAAUUUAAUUUGCUCUUCUUUUCCUAGUUUCCUAAGGUGGAAGCUUAGAUAAUUAUUUUUAGAUGUCUUUUCUUUUCUAAUAUAUGGAUUCAGUGCUAGACAUUUAUUUGUAGGCACUGCUUUCGAUCGUUAUCAAAUUUUGGUAAGUUGUAUUUUCAUUUUCCUUCAGUUCAAAAUACUUUUAAAUUUCUCUCGAGAUUUCACUAUUGGUCUGUGUAUUAUUUGGAAUGUGUUAUUUACUCCUCAAGUGUUUCGGAAUUUUUCAACUACCUUCCUGUUAUUAAUUUCUAGUUUAACUUUUUGUAGUCUGAGAGCAGACAUUGUACAAUUUGUUUUUCUUUACGUUUAUUAAGUUGUGUUUUGUAGCCCAGAAUGUGGUCUAUUUUGGUGAAUUGUCCAUGUAAUCUUAAAAAGAAUGUGUAUUCUACUGUUGCUGGCUGAAAUAGUCUAUAUAUGUCCAUUAUAUUCAGUGGAUUAAUGGUGUUGCUGAAUUUAACUAUAUCAUUUUCUGAUUUUCUGCCUGCAAGAUCUGUCUAUUUCGGAGAAAGGAAUGUUGAAGUCUUUAGCCAUAAUACUGGAU
rnacentral:lncRNA from 13 species